rnacentral:rRNA from 1 species
GAUGAACGCUGGCGGCGUGCCUAAUACAUGCAAGUAGAACGCUGAAGGAGGAGCUUGCUCUUCUGGAUGAGUUGCGAACGGGUGAGUAACGCGUAGGUAACCUGCCUGGUAGCGGGGGAUAACUAUUGGAAACGAUAGCUAAUACCGCAUGACAACAGUUAUUGCAUGAUAACUGUUUAAAAGGGGCAACUGCUCCACUACCAGAUGGACCUGCGUUGUAUUAGCUAGUUGGUGAGGUAACGGCUCACCAAGGCGACGAUACAUAGCCGACCUGAGAGGGUGAUCGGCCAAACUGGGACUGGGACACGGCCCAGACUCCUACGGGAGGCAGCAGUAGGGAAUCUUCGGCAAUAGACGGAAGUCUGAACGAGCAACGCCGCGUGAGUGAAGAAGGGUUUCGGAUCGUAAAGCUCUGUUGUAAGAGAAGAACGAGUGUGAGAGUGGAAAGUUCACACUGUGACGGUAUCUUACCAGAAAGGGACGGCUAACUACGUG